UACAGGAGACUGAAUCUUCCCCGCAAGGGGACAGCGAGACAGGUGCUGCAUGGCUGUCGUCAGCUCGUGUCGUGAGAUGUUGGGGUUAAGUCCCCGCAACGAGCGCAACCCUCAUCCUUAGUUGCCAUCAUUGAGUUGGGCACUUUAGGAAACUGCCUCGGUUAACGGGGAGGAAGGUGGGAUGACGUCAAGUCCUCAUGGCCUUUAUGUCCAGGGCUACACACGUGCUACAAUGGUCAGUACAAAGGGUUGCAAUCCCGCGAGGGUGAGCUAAUCUCAAAAAGCUGAUCUCAGUUCGGAUUGGAGUCUGCAACUCGACUCUAUGAAGGCGGAAUCGCUAGUAAUUGCGGAUCAGCAUGCCCGCGGUCCGAAUACGUUCCGGGCCUU
rnacentral:rRNA from 1 species